UGUCCUAAUCACGUAAGUAUGGGUAUUGUCAGGUGUUUCGAGAAUUUCCAGUCGUCGAAAUUUUCUCAAGACACUCACGCAUUGUCGGAGCUUGUGGCGGCUCAUGGGCAAGGUUUGAGUGACCCAUUUGGUCCUAAAAUGAUCCCUAUGAAGUCCCGAGCACGACGGUAUGCUUGGAUUUGAAUUUGGUUAUUGUUUGACGGUCGAUCAGAUUUACGCAUAGUAGGCAUUAUCCGGGUUCAAUAUGUUCGGACCGUUGGAUCAACUCCAUUUCCAAAUAUGUUGAUCUAUGCACCUUUAGAGCAACUCCACCCCUUAGGGCAAAGUCUAAGGCAAGGGCAAGCAAGGGCAAGCAAGGGCUGACACUAUUCACGUGAACAGUGUCAGCCUUGCCAUUUGUGGUUCCACCCACAAGGGCAAAGUCUAGGGCAAGUCUAGGGCAAUUACUAUUCAUUGUACUUUA
rnacentral:lncRNA from 1 species